rnacentral:rRNA from 1 species
CAAUAGCGUAUAUUAAAGUUGUUGCAGUUAAAAAGCUCGUAGUUGAAUUUCUGGUCAUUUUUAAUGUCGGCCUCGGUCGCGUUAAGGUUGGCCAUCCGUUUGCAAGCUACUCUCGGCCUUCACUGGUUCGGAGUAGUGAGCUGACAUUUUACUUUGAAAAAAUUAGAGUGUUUCAGGCAGGCGCAUGCCCGAAUAUACUAGCAUGGAAUAAUGGAAUCGGACUUUGGUCCAUUUGGUUGGUUAUUGGAUCUGAGUAAUGGUUAAUAGGGACAGUUGGGGGCAUUAGUAUUUAAUUGUCAGAGGUGAAAUUCUUGGAUUUAUUAAAGACUAACUUAUGCGAAAGCAUUUGCCAAGGAUGUUUUCAUUAAUCAAGAACGAAAGUUAGGGUAUCCAAGACGAUUUGAUACCGU